rnacentral:SRP_RNA from 1 species
AGCUGGGGAGGUAGCGGCGCCCUGUACCUGCAAUCCGCUAUAGCAGGGGUGAUAUCCAUCCUCGGUCUGAGCCGGUGGGGCUGCCCUCUGCAGGGGAGCGUUGACGGCCGGGUCUCGCGCAAUAGAGCUCUGUGAACCGUGUCAGGUCCGGAAGGAAGCAGCACUAAGCGGACCCCUCUAUGUGCCGCGAGGUUGCCUGGCUUGAGCUUGCCCUCUCAGGUAACGCCCAUUGGUCAGGAUCAAAGAUGGAUGCACG